rnacentral:rRNA from 1 species
UACGUAGGGUGCGAGCGUUGUCCGGAAUUAUUGGGCGUAAAGAGCUCGUAGGCGGUUUGUCGCGUCGACUGUGAAAACCCGAGGCUUAACCUCGGGCCUGCAGUCGAUACGGGCAGACUAGAGUUCGGUAGGGGAGACUGGAAUUCCUGGUGUAGCGGUGGAAAUGACGCAGAUAUCAGGAGGAACACCGGUGGCGAAGGCGGGUCUCUGGGCCGAUACUGACGCUGAGGAGCGAAAGCGUGGGGAGCGAACAGG